rnacentral:rRNA from 1 species
UACAGAGGUCUCAACCGUUGUUCGGAUUCAUUGGGCGUAAAGGGUGCGUAGGCGGUCGUGCAAGUAGGAUGUGAAAUCUCAGGGCUCAACCCUGAAACUGCAUUCGAUACUGCGCGGCUAGAGUGCUGGAGGGGAGACUGGAAUUUACGGUGUAGCAGUGAAAUGCGUAGAUAUCGUAAGGAAGACCAGUGGCGAAGGCGAGUCUCUGGACAGCAACUGACGCUGAGGCACGAAGGCCAGGGGAGCAAACGGG